AUGUUUGGGAAAUUUCCAUUACUGCUGGGAGAAAGGGACUUCUGAGUGAAGACUGUGGGAUCUGAAGCAAGACAAGAGAAGCAAAGCCUCUGUGUGGACAUUGCAGGGGAACUGUUUCCUCGUCCCACUGCUUUUCCAGAAUCCGUGGUGUGUGCUCCUGCAGGAAUUCUCAGCCCUCGUCCUGCCCAGGUCUGUACAGAGAUUUCCUUCCGUGAGGUAAUGGGAUCAAAGCAAGAAAAGGAGACUCUUCGUAGGGAUGAGCAUGAGCUUCAUGCUGGAGAAUCUGCAGUGUCCAGGUAAGUUUUCUUCCCAUUCCUUGGUGCAAGCUUGGAAUGCCCACGUAAAGGAUGUGGGAAGUGGAUCCUGACAUGGGGCUGGACAACAAAGGCUUAGAGACGGUGACUCCUUCUGCUCUUCUUAGAGAUCCUCCCUGGUUCUGAGGCCAUUUAAGAGAAGAAUCAGAGUUCCCCACAUUUGUCUGGACCAAAGUGCACGUGGGCACGGGGUGAGCACGGCGCAGCUGGAACGCUGCUGUCCCCACCGGCCUCCCAAUGAACCGGGGCUGUUCCUGGGUCUUGUCCCUCCCCGGGGCUGGCAGGUGGCUGUCCCAGCUGGGUGACAACACCCCGCAGUGCCGCUGGUGGUCUGGGCUGCUCCUCUUGCCCACCAGGCAGCGGUGCUGAGCAGCUCCAUCAUUUUCCAGGCGCAGGGGCAGCCGCGGGUGCUGGGAGCAGGCUACAUCUCAUCAAGGCUGCUCCGCUGGCACACAGCCCCUCCAGGAGUUCCCUCUGUAAAUAUUAGUGCAUCCCUAGGUCCCGGUUGAUGAGGCGCUUUACAGGAGGCUCCUCUCUGGCAGAGGUUUGUGCACUCGUGGCCCCAGGCCGGCAGGCAGGGAGGUGUGAGCGUGCUGGGGUGCAGGACCUGCCGCCCUCACUGCCCACAUGCACGGUGCAGCCGGGGGGACCACUCCAAGGGGGUGGGUUCGCUUUUCCAGAGGGAAAAGGGCUGGGCAGCGUGACAGCAUCCACGCUGCGGGACAGCAGCUUGAGGCAGGGCGCAGGAGGGGCUGCUCACAGCCUCGGGGGCUCCCCGUGCUCCAUCUCCAACCUGACCUCGCCUCGUGAUCCCAGCAAAACCUCUGGAAAAUGCUGCAGAGACCCUGCCCGAGCUCAGAC